ACAAGGUGAUGAACUUGGUUCCUUUACAUUCGCAGUUUCCACGGUAGGAGUACGCUUCGAACCCAUCGUAUAGUGCUCUCUGUGACCGCUCUUAUGAGACCUUCCUAGGAUGUCUGAUUGU
rnacentral:snoRNA from 1 species